AAUUCCCAUUUACACUCCCUCUGAUUUUUCCCCCUAAAACGAAAACCCUAAAUACAUUCAGACCACCCAAACACCACUUGCGAUCUGCACCAUUUGCAACACUCAUUCUCGAUUUGUGAAUUCUUCUCCUUCCUUUACCAGGUUUAUGGUUACUUUCGGAUCUUCCAAACCUUUCACCUUUAUUUUUGGUUCGUGGCUCCCUUCCACACCUUUUUUUCUUCCAACUCUUCCUCUGCAAUCCCUUCCAAACCUUUCAGAUCUCCUUUUUCUUAUUAUCUUCUUUGUCCGCAAGUCGAAAGGCUUGCUCAUAUUAUUUUUUUUCAGUUAAAAGGGUUUUUUCAUUUGACGAACACAAAACAACAAAAUAGUUCUUGGAUGAAAAGGAUUGAUUACUUGCAAAGGAUGAAAAGUGGGAAGUUGGAUUUGGGUGUUAGGAGGGACAUACUUGAUUGGGUUUGGAAGGAGCAUACUAUUUGUUAUUGGAUGUUAGGAGGGACAUACUUGAUUGGAUUUGGAAGGUUUUUCGAUGUUUAAGGGUUUUUCAUUUGACGAACACAAAGCAACAAAAUAGUUCUUGGAUGAAAAGGUUUGAUUACUUGCAAAGGCUGAAAAGUGAGAAGUUGGAUUUGGGUGUUAGGAGGGACAUACUUGAUUGGAUUUGAAAGGAGCAUACUAUUUGUUAUUGCAUGUUAGGAGGGACAUUCUUGAUUGGAUUUGGAAGGUUGCAGUAGAGGAGAUCAAGAAGUUUGAGGUUUUCACAAAGAUUGUUGAAGAUUUAAGAGGACAGAAAAUCAUAAAGCUUCCCCGUACUUAAAGAUAUUAUUCUUUCUCCUCAAAGAGUAAUUGUUGUUUUAGGACAAUUCAUUUGUUCUGUUUCUGUUUCUGGUGGAAUUUUAUGAUUUUCAGUUAUAAUUUAUUCAUGAAAAGUUGUAUUUAUGUUGUAAAUAAAUAUUGGUAAAGUGUAUUACUUUGGUUUGUGUAGGAAGCUAAAACUUAUUAUGUUCAGACAAA